rnacentral:rRNA from 1 species
AGCCUGAACGCUGGCGGCGUGGCUAAGACAUGCAAGUCGAACGGGUGUAGCAAUACACCAGUGGCGGACGGGUGAGUAAUGAAUCGCUAAUGUACCCCGGAGCCAGAGAUAGCUGCCCGAAAGGGCAGGUAAUACCUGAUGAGACCACAGUACCGCAUGGUACGGUGCUCAAAGCCGCAAGGCACUCUGGGAGCAGGCGAUUUUGUAUCAGCUAGUUGGUGAGGUAAUGGCUCACCAAGGCGACGACGCAUAGCCGGACUGAGAGGUUGGCCGGCCACAUUGGGACUGAGACACUGCCCAGACUCCUACGGGGGGCUGCAGUAACGAAUCUUCCGCAAUGCACGAAAGUGUGACGGAGCGACGCCGCGUGUAGGACGAAGCCCUUCGGGGUGUAAACUACUGUCAGGGGAAAGAAGUUCUGAUCUACCCAGAGGAAGAGACGGCUAACUCUGCGCCAGCAGCCGCGGU